UACGUAGGGGGCAAGCGUUGUCCGGAUUUAUUGGGCGUAAAGGGUGCGUAGGCGGCGCGGUAAGUCGGGUGUGAAAUCUCGGAGCUUAACUCCGAAACUGCAUUCGAUACUGUGGUGCUUGAGGACUGGAGAGGAGACUGGAAUUCAUGGUGUAGCAGUGAAAUGCGUAGAGAUCAUGAGGAAGACCAGUGGCGAAGGCGGGUCUCUGGACAGUUCCUGACACUGAGGCACGAAGGCCAGGGGAGCAAACGGG
rnacentral:rRNA from 1 species